CAUAUACAGCUGGGACGUCUGAGGCUGCCCGAACCAUUGCGUUCUAAACGGUGAAUCAACCACAACGAGUUUUACGCGCAAAAAAGUAUAGAAGCACGAAGUGUUAUUAAGCAACGACAUCACAGUUAACUACCAGCCUCAUCCAACGCAUGCUAUGCUUUCCGCGUUACAGAGUGUAGCCUAAUCCCUUAAAAAAAGCGACCGACUUCUGAAUCACAAGUAAUUUGUCGUCUAAAACGCGUCAAGAUGGCCUCGAUGUGGCUGAUAAAGUCUCUUG